rnacentral:rRNA from 1 species
GAUGAACGCUGGCGGCGUGCCUAAUACAUGCAAGUCGAGCGAAUGGAUUAAGAGCUUGCUCUUAUGAAGUUAGCGGCGGACGGGUGAGUAACACGUGGGUAACCUGCCCAUAAGACUGGGAUAACUCCGGGAAACCGGGGCUAAUACGGGAUAACAUUUUGAACCGCAUGGUUCGAAAUUGAAAGGCGGCUUCGGCUGUCACUUAUGGAUGGACCCGCGUCGCAUUAGCUAGUUGGUGAGGUAACGGCUCACCAAGGCAACGAUGCGUAGCCGACCUGAGAGGGUGUUCGGCCACACUGGGACUGAGACACGGCCCAGACUCCUACGGGAGGCAGCAGUAGGGAAUCUUCCGCAAUGGACGAAAGUCUGACGGAGCAACGCCGCGUGAGUGAUGAAGGCUUUCGGGUCGUAAAACUCUGUUGUUAGGGAAGAACAAGUGCUAGUUGAAUAAGCUGGCACCUUGACGGUACCUAACCAGAAAGCCACGGCUAACUACGUGCCAGCAGCCGCCGUAA